rnacentral:rRNA from 1 species
GAUGAACGCUAGCGAUAGGCUUAACACAUGCAAGUCGAGGGGCAGCACAAGGUAGCUUGCUAUCUGGGUGGCGACCGGCGCACGGGUGCGUAACGCGUAUGCAACUUGCCCUAUACAGGAGGAUAACCCGUCGAAAGACGGACUAAUACUGCGUAUGCUCACAACUUGGCAUCAAGUGGUGAGGAAAGAAAUUCGGUAUAGGAUAGGCAUGCGUCCCAUUAGCUUGUUGGUGAGGUAACGGCUCACCAAGGCAACGAUGGGUAGGGGAACUGAGAGGUUUAUCCCCCACACUGGUACUGCGACACGGACCAGACUCCUACGGGAGGCAGCAGUGAGGAAUAUUGGUCAAUGGGCGCGAGCCUGAACCAGCCAAGUCGCGUGAAGGAUGACUGUCUUAUGGAUGGUAAACUUCUUUUAUACGGGAAUAACAAGAGUCACGUGUGACUCCCUGCAUGUACCGUAUGAAUAAGCAUCGGCUAACUCCGUG